GUGAGGAAUAUUGGACAAUGGGCGCAAGCCUGAUCCAGCCAUGCCGCGUGCAGGAAGACGCAUCUAUGGUGUGUAAACUGCUUUUGUACGGGAAGAAACACUCCCUCGUGAGGGAGCUUGACGGUACCGUAAGAAUAAGGAUCGGCUAACUCCGUGCCAGCAGCCGCGGCAAUACGGAGGAUCCAAGCGUUAUCCGGAAUCAUUGGGUUUAAAGGGUCCGUAGGCGGUUUAAUAAGUCAGUGGUGAAAGCCCAUCGCUCAACGAUGGAACGGCCAUUGAUACUGUUAGACUUGAAUUACAAGGAAGUAACUAGAAUAUGUAGUGUAGCGGUGAAAUGCUUAGAUAUUACAUGGAAUACCAAUUGCGAAGGCAGGUUACUACUUGUGGAUUGACGCUGAUGGACGAAAGCGUGGGGAGCGAACAGGAUUAGAUACCCUAGUAGUCC
rnacentral:rRNA from 1 species